rnacentral:rRNA from 1 species
UGGCGACCGGCGCACGGGUGAGUAACACGUAUCCAACCUGCCGAUGACUCGGGGAUAGCCUUUCGAAAGAAAGAUUAAUACCCGAUGGCAUAGUUCUUCCGCAUGGUAGAACUAUUAAAGAAUUUCGGUCAUCGAUGGGGAUGCGUUCCAUUAGCUUGUUGGCGGGGUAACGGCCCACCAAGGCAUCGAUGGACAGGGGUUCUGAGAGGAAGGUCCCCCACAUUGGAACUGAGACACGGUCCAAACUCCUACGGAAGGCAGCAG